rnacentral:lncRNA from 1 species
UUUUUUUUUUUUAAUUUUUUUUUUCUUUUUUCUUUUUUUGAGACAGUGUAACCCCAGGCUGGCCUUGGACUCCAAAUCCUCUGUGCUGGCUCUGACCCAUACUUCCAGUCCCUAAUUUCAGCACCCCUUAAAAACUAUGUGUCACCAUACCUGGCCGGCAUGUCUGAUGAUCACCAACAGAUCAAAUUUGACUUUUUCACUGCCUGGCCGUUAGAAGCGAAGCCAGGCAGGCUGUGCUAUUCUAACUCCUGACCAGGGUUAGUCUGAAAGGAAAAUCUUUGCAAGCAGUAACAAAACCCCCAAGUCACAAUUUCGGUUGACAUCCCCAGAUUAUUGAGUCUUGUCAAAGUAAAAACUCACCAUUCUGCAGCAGGCUUGUAUUUGUAGUCAAGGGAACAAGCGAUAGCAAACCAGUGUUCAAAAAAGAAAGUAUUCUAAGUGGAGUCACUUGUUAAUAAGCAAGGGAUGAGCUUUGUGUGGUGACACCCACCUUUAAUCCCAACAGAGUCAGGUGGACUUCUGAUCUACAAAGUGAGUUAGUUCUAGGACAGCCAGAGCUACAUAGUGAGGCCCUGUCUCAAAAAAAGUUAUACUACUAAUAAGCAAGGGAUGUUUGCACUACAGCCGGAAACUAGACAGUGAUUGUGAUUCCCUAGAUAUCACAAGCAAUAUGGAACACUCUUGGGUACAGUCACAUAAAGUGGAAAGGUUAGAAAAUAGGCAGAAGAUCCAGAGAGAAAUUGGGAUGCUCUAGGACUGAGCAUGUGACCCAAAUGACAUUGAACUCCAUAGCCUGUGUGUUCCCGUCAGUCCUUAUUAUGUUUGCCCCUCGUGAGUACAAUAUUGAAAUGUAUUAUACUUGCCCAUGUAAAAGAGGAAUGAACUAUGUAAUGGGUACAGAGCAGAGAUGAGUGCAUUGGCUAGAAUACUUGCCUAGCAUGCACAAGGCUCUGGGCUCAGUUACUAGCACUGUGUAAAGCUCAACAUGACCACACCUCAGCACUCUAGAGGUGGAAAUAAGAAGAUCAGAAGUUCAAGGUUGGCUACAAAGUCAGUUGGAGGCUAGCCUGAGAUACAUGAGACCCUCUCUCCAAAAAAUUGUAAGAUAACCAUUCAGUCGUAUUGUUUGAUCUUAGCAGAAACUGUCAUCACUAUAAUCCCAGCUGAGAAUGUAUAACGAGACAACUGGGUAGGGAAGGAAUCCCCUGUGAGGACUGCUGCAAUGGCCACGCAGGAUAGUGUUAUUUUAAUCUGCAGGGGCCCACAUUGGAGGAGGAGACUGUCCCAAUGGGACAGCUAAAAGGAAGAAUCAGGCAUCCUUUCUAGAGCUCAUCCCAUGGUCAUUUACUGUUGUCACAGCAAAUUGUGACUUGAUUUCCAGGAAUCUCUUGCUUUUGAUUUGUUUGUUGUUUGUUUUAGAGGGGAAUCUUGUGUCUAAUGUACUCAGGCUUUGAAUUUACUAUAUACCUAAACAUGGCCUUGAACAUCUGUUCUUCCUGACUCUUCCCCAGUUCUUCUUUUUUUUUUAAGAUUUAUUCAUUGUUAUAUCUAAGUACACUGUAGCUGUCUUCACACACACCAGAAGAAGGCAUCAGAGCUCCCCACGGAUGGUUAUGAGUCACCAUGUGGUUGCUGAGAUUUGAACUCAGGACCUUCGGAAGAGCAGUCAGUGCUCUCAACCACUGAGCCAUCUCUCCAGCCCCUCUUCCCAAGUUCUUGAAUUAAGUGAUCCCCAACAUCCCCAACGUUCUUUUUAAUUAAUUAGCUCAGCUCAGCGCUUCUCAGCCUUCCUAAUGCUUGUGACUCUUUAAUACAGUUCCUCAUGUUGUGGUGACCUCCAGCUAUAAAAUUAUUUUCGUUGCUGAUUCAUAGCUGUGAUUUUGCUAAUGUUAUGAAUCAUAAUGUAAAGAUGCGAUAUGCAGGAUAUCUGUUAUGUGACCCAUGGCAAAGUGUUCUUCAACCCCAACCACUGAAUUAUCUAGGUACUGUAGGAGCAAUAGAAUGAAGUAUUACGAGACAGGGGAGGACUCCUGAAACUGAACUUAUCUUUCAACCCAUCAGUAACAUAUACAGAAAGAACAUCGGCCCAAACAAAAGAUUUCCUUAGCCUAAAGGGAAAGGAAGCCUUUUUCUUUCAGUACUGGGGUUGGGGAAGUCUUCCUAGAAGGUAAGUACUCUGCUGGAACGGAACUCAAGACAAGGGCCAGGAGUGCAAGGGUUCUAUUCUCUCACACUACUCUUACUUUAUUUGGAGAAAUCACUUCCCCUUUCUAGAUGCCUGUUAGUGCUAAGGGGGUAUUAUCUGCCUGGGGCAACCAGCUCUGCAUCCUCUAAUGCCUUAAGAGGAUGGAGCUGAGCACAGGCACCUGGAAGCAUUCAGGAUUCAGAUUUUGUUUGUUUGUUUGUUUUUCGAGACAGGGUUUCUCGUGUAGCCCUGGCUGUCCUGGAACUCACUCUGUAGACCAGGCUGGCCUCGAAAUCAGAAAUCGGCCUGCCUCUGCCUCCCAAGUGCUGGGAUUAAAGGUGUGCAUCCCCAUGCCCAGCAGGAUUCAGAUUUAAAACAUCAACCAUAAAAAGGAGUUGAGUCGAGCAUGAUGGUACACGCCUUUAAUCUCAGCAGUCAAGAAGCAAAGGUAGAGGAAAGUAGAUCUCUAGAGUUCAGGCCAGCCAGGGCUCCAUAGUGACACUCUGUCUCCAAAAAGAAAAAGGAAGG